GCUGUGGAUCAGGGCCGGGACGUUCGCAGGUUCGGGCCGGCUGCCUCACUUGGUGUGGCCCGUGCGGUGUUAAGUUCGGUUACGAGGUCAGCUCUCUUUGUCAGAGCAGGGAAGGAGCUGGAAAUCUCUCAUAGGAGGAACAAUGAAGAGAACUGGAAAUAUUUGAACUGGAGUAGGGACUGCGUGAAAAAGCAGGAACUGUGUUGCGUCUGGUGGAAAGGAGAGAUGGUAUCAUAAAACAAGGAAAUACCAAUAAUUUUGACAACUAAACUGAAAAGGAUCGAACAAGAAAAAAGAGAGAGAGAACACAAGCAGGGGGAACGGAAGGCAGAGGGAGAAGCAGGCUUCCCGCGGAGCAAGGAGCCCGAUGCGGGACUCGAUUCAGGGACCCAGGAUCACGACCUGAGCGAAAGGCAGACGCUCAACCGACUGAGCCACCCAGGCGUCCAGUGCCCCCACAUCUUGAUUAUUUCAUUGCACAUUGUUAUUCACUGUUCAAAAAGACUCUGUAGUAAGGAAAUUAGUAUUUAUAAAGUAUUUAAGCAUAUCUGAUUAAAGCAUAUUGUG